CAUGCAAGUCGAGCGGUAACAGAAAGUAGCUUGCUACUUUGCUGACGAGCGGCGGACGGGUGAGUAAUGCUUGGGAACAUGCCUUGAGGUGGGGGACAACAGUUGGAAACGACUGCUAAUACCGCAUAAUGUCUACGGACCAAAGGGGGCUUCGGCUCUCGCCUUUAGAUUGGCCCAAGUGGGAUUAGCUAGUUGGUGAGGUAAUGGCUCACCAAGGCAACGAUCCCUAGCUGGUUUGAGAGGAUGAUCAGCCACACUGGAACUGAGACACGGUCCAGACUCCUACGGGAGGCAGCAGUGGGGAAUAUUGCACAAUGGGCGAAAGCCUGAUGCAGCCAUGCCGCGUGUGUGAAGAAGGCCUUCGGGUUGUAAAGCACUUUCAGUCAGGAGGAAAGGGUGUGAGUUAAUACCUCACAUCUGUGACGUUACUGACAGAAGAAGCACCGGCUAACUCCGUGCCAGCAGCCGCGGUAAUACGGAGGGUGCGAGCGUUAAUCGGAAUUACUGGGCGUAAAGCGUACGCAGGCGGUUUGUUAAGCGAGAUGUGAAAGCCCCGGGCUCAACCUGGGAACUGCAUUUCGAACUGGCAAACUAGAGUGUGAUAGAGGGUGGUAGAAUUUCAGGUGUAGCGGUGAAAUGCGUAGAGAUCUGAAGGAAUACCGAUGGCGAAGGCAGCCACCUGGGUCAACACUGACGCUCAUGUACGAAAGCGUGGGGAGCAAACGGGAUUAGAUACCCCGGUAGUCCACGCCGUAAACGAUGUCUACUAGAAGCUCGGAACCUCGGUUCUGUUUUUCAAAGCUAACGCAUUAAGUAGACCGCCUGGGGAGUACGGCCGCAAGGUUAAAACUCAAAUGAAUUGACGGGGGCCCGCACAAGCGGUGGAGCAUGUGUUUAAUUCGAUGCAACGCGAAGAACCUUACCUACACUUGACAUACAGAGAACUUUCUAGAGAUAGAUUGGUGCCUUCGGGAACUCUGAUACAGUGCUGCAUGGCUGUCGUCAGCUCGUGUUGUGAGAUGUUGGGGUUAAGUCCCCCACGAGGGCAACCCCUAUUCUUUAUUGUCUAACAGGUAAGUGUGAGAAAUCUCAAGAGACAUGCCGGCGAAAAACCCAAGAAAGUUUUUACACAUCCUAGAU
rnacentral:rRNA from 1 species